ensembl:misc_RNA Y_RNA Y RNA
CACUGGCCCGAUGAUGGUGGGUUAUCAGAACUUAUUAACAUCAGCAUCACUGAAGUUGGUAUACAACUCCCCACUGCUAAAUUUGACUGGCUUUAA